UCCUUCCUUGUAUUCCUCAUGUUUGAAAGAAUGAGAAAUGAUGGGCAUGGAUGAAUGAACAGUCCCUUCUUUCAUCCAUCCUUUCUAAAAUUUUUUAAACCAAAUAGUAGAUAAAAAUCAUCUCAUCUUUCCAAUCCUAUCCAUCUUUCCUCUCAUAAUCCUAACCAAACAUAGGGUAACAUCCACGCACUCAAAAUAGAAGAACCCAAACAUGAGGCAAGACAAACACGCCUCACAAAUGGGUCAUAGGAGUCCGCAUUAUCCUGCAGCAAAGAUGCUAACCACUGGCAUUCUGGAGAACCCAAGGCUGGGACAGGACAAACAUGCCUCACAAAUGGGCCAUUGGAGUCGGCGUUAUCUUUUAGCAAAGAUGCUAACCACCGACUUGGGGGCUGACGCCUGUCCAGUGUUGGAAGGUCAAGAAAAUUGACGACCU
rnacentral:lncRNA from 1 species